rnacentral:rRNA from 1 species
CCAGACUCCUACGGGAGGCAGCAGUGAGGAAUAUUGGUCAAUGGUCGGGAGACUGAACCAGCCAAGCCGCGUGAGGGAUUAAGGUACAGAGUAUCGUAAACCUCUUUUGUCAGGGAACAAAGGCGGGGACGUGUCCCCGGAUGAGUGUACCUGAAGAAAAAGCAUCGGCUAACUCCGUGCCAGCAGCCGCGGUAAUACGGAGGAUGCGAGCGUUAUCCGGAUUUAUUGGGUUUAAAGGGUGCGCGGGCGGUGUGUAAAGUCGGCGGUCAAAGCCGGGGGCUCAACCCCGUCGAGCCGUUGAAACUGGCAGACUUGAGUUGGCGAGAAGUACGCGGAAUGCGCGGUGUAGCGGUGAAAUGCAUAGAUAUCGCGCAGAACUCCGAUUGCGAAGGCAGCGUACCGGCGCCAGACUGACGCUGAGGCACGAAAGCGUGGGGAUCGAACAGGAUUAGAUACCCUAGUA